rnacentral:rRNA from 1 species
CGGCGGACGGGUGAGUAACGCGUGGGUAACCUACCCUGUACACACGGAUAACAUACCGAAAGGUAUGCUAAUACGGGAUAAUAUAUUUGAGAGGCAUUUCUUGAAUAUCAAAGGUGAGCCAGUACAGGAUGGACCCGCGUCUGAUUAGCUAGUUGGUAAGGUAACGGCUUACCAAGGCGACGAUCAGUAGCCGACCUGAGAGGGUGAUCGGCCACAUUGGAACUGAGACACGGUCCAA